CCUAUAACAACUAUCUUGUCUGUGUUCACAAUUAAAUGUUUAUAAGAAUAAUCUAUGGGAUCUAAGACCAUUUGACUGCUGUAAAGUAGAGGGGUAAGUAAGAAAAAAGUGUUGACAACACUGUUCGAAGUCCAUCAUUAUUACACAAAGGCCCUAUAUGUUGAAAUAAACAGCAUUCCAGGCUUCUUUGGUCACAGAGAAUCACAAAGGCAUAAUAAGUGGGUUACAUUGUUGCAGUGUAUUACAUUUUAUCACAAUAUCAUUUUUUAUGGAAAUGUGAGGUUAUUCUUAAAAAUAGGUGUCAAACUGCUAGAACUGAAAUCUUUCUUAUAUUUCAACCUUAAAUAAGAAAGUAUGAGUUUGUGAGUCACAAUGAAAUAAUGUCAAUUACCCUUAAAAUAUUUUGCUUUGAUUAUCU